UAGGUUUGCACUCAAGACUGCCACUUACCUUAAUGGAAGCUGUUCAUAUGCCCCCAGGAAAGAAUGAACAAUUUAAUAGAAAAUGCUGAAGGAGUGAUAUUAGGAAACAUCAAUAAAUAGUACGGAUGCUAUCGUCAUCAUCAUCAUCAUCAUUAUCAUCAUCAUCAAGGUCAUGACAGAAAGAGGACACAUUACAUGAAAUCUCAACUUCAUCCCUGGGCCAUGCACACCUGUAGCUAAUUUUUGUAUCUUUCUAUUUGAGUUCGGGUUUAGCAUCGUUUUGUCCCACACAACAGAAGCUGAUCUCCAAAGAGAGGAAUAAUGUAGCCUCAAGUGACAAAGACAUUGAGUGAAGUCUUUCACAUCCUGGGAUGCCUGUGGCCCAGCACAGAGGGCUGUUGGGUUGCCAACACAGAGUUUACCUCUCAGGUGUCUGUAAUUGGGUAAAGAGAGGUGAAGUUUAGCAUGUGAUAUGUAAAAUGGGCAGCUACAAAUACAAUUCUAAAACAAGCAGAA
rnacentral:antisense_RNA from 1 species